rnacentral:rRNA from 1 species
CGCUCUCUUCGGAGAGAGUGGCAGACGGGUGAGUAACGCGUGGGAACGUACCUUUCGGUUCGGAACAACAGUUAGAAAUGACUGCUAAUACCGGAUACGCCCUCAGGGGGAAAGAUUUAUCGCCGAAAGAUCGGCCCGCGUUAGAUUAGCUUGAUGGUGGGGUAAAGGCCUACCAUGGCGACGAUCUAUAGCUGGUCUGAGAGGACGACCAGCCACACUGGGACUGAGACACGGCCCAGACUCCUACGGGAGGCAGCAGUGGGGAAUAUUGGACAAUGGGCGAAAGCCUGAUCCAGCCAUGCCGCGUGGAUGAAGAAGGCCCUAGGGUUGUAAAGUCCUUUCGCUAGGGAAGAUAAUGACGGUACCUAGUAAAGAAGCCCCGGCUAAUUUCGUGCCAGCAGCCGCGGUAAUACAAAAGGGGCUAGCGUUGUUCGGAAUUACUGGGCGUAAAGCGCACGUAGGCGGCCUUGUAAGUUGGGGGUGAAAUCCCGGAGCUCAACUCCGGAACUGCCUCCAAAACUACAAAGCUCUAGGAUGUGAGAGGUGAGUGGAAUUCCGAGUGUAGAGGUGAAAUUCGUAGAUAUUCGGAAGAACACCAGUGGCGAAG